AUACGAAGGGGGCUAGCGUUGUUCGGAAUUACUGGGCGUAAAGCGCGCGUAGGCGGACUGAUCAGUUGGGGGUGAAAUCCCAGGGCUUAACCCUGGAACUGCCUCCAAUACUGUCAGUCUUGAGUUCGGGAGAGGUGAGUGGAAUUCCUAGUGUAGAGGUGAAAUUCGUAGAUAUUAGGAAGAACACCAGUGGCGAAGGCGGUUCACUGGCCCGAUACUGACGCUGAGGUGCGAAAGCGUGGGGAGCAAACAGGAUUAGAAACCCUAGUAGUCC
rnacentral:rRNA from 1 species